ACCGCCUUAUGCAAAAUCCGCUGUGUUUGAAAGCACGUUAUGCUGAGAUCUCCUCUACUAGGAAGAAUAGGCUAAUUUCCAAUUAAUCUUUUCCCGUUUCUUCUCUAUGCUUUUGGGGGAAAAACUGAGAGAUAUACUCAUAGAUCACAUUGUGAUGAAUUACAUAACAUUGAUUUUAAUAAUCUUAUUACUCUAGGUUUGUGGGUAUAGAUAAAUUACUUCAAAGGAACUUCCUCCCCUCCCCCCUAAAAAAAUAGGUUGAGAGAGAUUCAUCAAUUUUAUUGAAAGUGAUUUUUGACAAAUUCUUGACAUAUAAAUGUUUAGCGACUUCCUCUUAAUUGCUUAACGCAAAAGAAAAAGGUAUUUUUUAUUAUUGAAUUGAUAUUCGAAUGGAGAAAACAUUUAUUCCCGGUUUUUUCAAACAAAAAAAAAAGAGCGAGGAAAUUCCGCUAAAUAUUUUAAGGCGUUCCAUUUUUUAUUUUUUUUAUGAGGCGCUUCUUGAGAUCGCUUUUUUAAGCGAGUGUUAAAAAAAAUUAAUAAAUUGUUGUUAGUUGAAUAAUUGAAGCUUUCAAAAACGGGGUUUUUAAUAUAUGGAGGCCGUAUUUAUUUUCAUUAUUUAUUUUUUCAGUUAUGUGCUGUGAUAUUUUUAAUAAAGUGAUUCUGUUCUUGUAUUACCAUUUAUUCAAACAUCAUACUCAAUUAUUGUAAAUUAAAUCGAUAAUAAAGGUUAAAUUUAAACAAUGUGUGUACCAUAGCCAUUAUUUUCGAGGGUUCGGAAUCCUUCUCCUUGUUACUUUAAUCAUGAGGGAAUUAUAAACAGUAUAGUCGAUUCCAAUAUCUAGUUUAAAAACAUUUAUAACUUUCUUCAUAGGCAAAAUUUUUAAUAUUUUCCACAUUAAGUAUACAAAUUUAUAUUUAAAAAAAAUUAAGUUUUUUUUUUUUUUGUUAUAUAAUGUUUCACCUAUUAUAAGGUAAUUACCGAUAUAAAAUUUAAAAAAAAACAAUUAAAUCAUAGAUAUUUAUUGAGUUAAAGUGAAAGCAAUUAAAAUGGUUUACAAACAUUAACUUCUACACUAUUAUUAUUUAAUUUUUCCCUAUAUUUUGUAUUUUAAGUGGAAGAAAGUUAAGUGAAGUUGUCAGUUUUAUAAAAGAUAGAAAAAUGAUGAAAAACGACACUCUAUUUUUAGACUCUUAUAACUUAUGAAAGAUAUUCAACGUAUAAUUUAAGAAAUAUCCAUCUGGAAGGAUGUUUGUUCCAUUUUUUAUGGGGGUGUACUAGGAAAUAGUCAACAUUAUCAUCUUAUUUUUUCCAAUUUCAAUGUCAAUUUUAUGACGCCGUGCCUUGUCUAAGGAAAAUGGAUACAAUCGAAAGAAGAUAAUUCUAACUUGAUCCCCCAUCUCAAGAGAUGUUUGAAUUUGGAUUCCGAAUUCCACGGGGGACGAUGGGAAAAGAACUCAUCCCAGAAAAACUACCAGACCUCAUAAAGAAGACGAGUGAACUCCGUUCUAGGGAAUGAGAUACCAGGAUCAAACCAAAAAAGCGAUCACUUUAUUAAGAGUAAAGAAUUUUAAUAUUUCAAAAUGGGAUCACUUA
rnacentral:lncRNA from 1 species